GAUGAACGCUGGCGGCGUGCCUAAUACAUGCAAGUCGAGCGAACAGACGAGGAGCUUGCUCCCCUGACGUUAGCGGCGGACGGGAGAGUAACACGUGGAUAACCUACCUCUACGACUGGGAUAACUUCGGGAAACCGGAGCUAAUACCGGAUAAUAUAUUGAACCGCAUGGUUCAAUAGUGAAAGACGGUUUUGCUGUCACUUAUAGACGGCUCCGCGCCGCAUUAGUUAGUUGGUAAGGUAACGGCUUACCAAGGCUACGAUGCGUAGCCGACCUGAGAGGGUGAUCGGCCACACUGGAACUGAGACACGGUCCAGACUCCUACGGGAGGCAGCAGUAGGGAAUCUUCCGCAAUGGGCGAAAGCCUGACGGAGCAACGCCGCGUGAGUGAUGAAGGUCUUCGGAUCGUAAAGCUCUGUUAUUAGGGAAGAACAAAUGUGUAAGUAACUAUGCACGUCUUGACGGUACCGAAUCAGAAAGCCACGGCUAACUACGUG
rnacentral:rRNA from 1 species